rnacentral:tRNA from 2 species
AGGCUCGUCGUUCAAUGGACAGGAUAUCCGGUUUCGGCCCGGCUGAUGGGGGUUCGACUCCCUCCGAGCCUA